CGGCCGCGUCGACAUGACGGUACCAGCAGAAGAAGCCCCGGCUAACUCCGUGCCAGCAGCCGCGGUAAUACGGAGGGGGCUAGCGUUGUUCGGAAUUACUGGGCGUAAAGCGCACGUAGGCGGACCGGAAAGUCAGAGGUGAAAUCCCAGGGCUCAACCUUGGAACUGCCUUUGAAACUAUCGGUCUGGAGUUCGAGAGAGGUGAGUGGAAUUCCCGGUGUAGAGGUGAAAUUCGUAGAUAUCGGGAGGAAUACCAG
rnacentral:rRNA from 1 species